ensembl:lncRNA
CGCGAGCUUUGGCACUGAGGAGCGUCAUCAAUGCGCGUGGUGGGGGUGGGCUGAUGUUUGGAUUUGGUGAUCUUAAUGAGCUUUUCCAACCUGAAUGAUGCUAUGACCGAGCCGCCACGUGGUCACCAGUUUUACUUCAGGCAGAACUGUGUUGAAAGAGCGAAGGCUCAGUACCUGCCCCACUUCAGAUCUUCUACGUGACCAGCUGGAAAUUUCAUGAAUCACAGCUGUUGUAUUAACAGAAGUGUAAGAGAAAGCUUCUCUUGGCCUGCCAUGAGGACAUUAUCCAGCAGGUGGAGUUUGACAGGAUGGUGUGCACAGGCCAAGGAGACAAGGCAUUUAUGCCAGGAAAACUCAAUUGUUUGAGUGCUCAUGGAAAAGAAAUGCAAGAGCUGCCUUGGUAUCACUAAAGCAAGUUCACUGAAAAAUAGGACACUUUGAGAAGGACUCAGAAACAGCAUUUGGAAUGGAGAACUCAAACUGCAUUGUAGGCCGAACUAAUGCCUGAUAUUUAAGUAUAGGGGAGAUGUGGAGUUCUGAAGCUGAAAUUGAGAAGCCUGGAUCUGACAUGGAAUGUAAAGGAAUGACAAAACUGGAUGCCAAGAGGCGUUUUCAGCAGCAGUAUUGCCAGGACACUGAAGAAACGAGAGAGACAAGCAGGAAAAUGGGAAAUGUCAAAAGUCUCUACCAUGGUCUCAGGAUCAGAGAGAGGAAGGAUGUUUCAGAGAACAAUCUGAAAGGGAAAUGUGAGAUUUGGCAGCAGGUUAGCUAAGGAAGAAAUAGUCAGAAGAAAGUUUGAAAGAAGAGAAAAGCAUCUAACAAAGUUGAAAAAAUGUAUUUUUAGCUUGUUGGCUGGAAUUGAUAAGGCCCACCUUCAGUUGUACUGCUGGGACUGGAAACUGGGAGUACAGCCAGUGGUAAGAAGAGAUUUAGAUCACCUAAAGACACAUAGGACUUUCGGAAAUGUUGAGAAUAUGUGAUGUCAUUUAGAUGACAGAGACAACAGGCACAGAGCUUCCCUCAAGGCUGCAGGAGAAGGAAUUUUGUCUUUUAUCAGCUUAUUCAAUGAGAUGGAGUUGUGGAAAGAGGAGCUGCUACAUUAAAGAUUCUGUGAAGAUGAGAUUUGGAUUCUGUCAGUGUCUCCUUGGUCAUUUUGAUAAAGCUAGUUUCAGUGAAGGAAAGGGAAAGGUAUGCUGUCCAUUCAAAGGGACUAGAAUUAGUAGAGCAACAGGCAUAACUACUACACAAACCUCUGAAAUCAAAGUUUGGAGAGAGGUUCACCGGAACAGGUUUGGUAGCAAAGAUGAGAGGUGGAAAGUGAAGGAAGAGUCAGCUUGGGGAGUACUGUAGGCUGACUCUACUGUAAGAUAAAUUCACAGAAAGCCCAGUAUGUCUAGGCAGUAUGAAUGAGCUUGUAUUUUAAUGCCCAAGAGGUGAGGGGCAAAAUAAAUUUCCUUUGGUUGAGAAGACAAAAAGUGGCUUCUUUCAUCCACCUGAGAAGGAGUAGGGCUGCAG